rnacentral:piRNA from 1 species
AGUCAGGUUAGGAACUCAAGCAGGAUAGG